GGAGGGUAGCUCAGUGGUAGAGCGUGUGCUUAGCAUGCACGAGGUCCUGGGCUCAAUCCCCAGGACCUCCA
rfam:Camelus ferus unplaced genomic scaffold scaffold413, whole genome shotgun sequence.